UUUUUUUUAUUGUGCAUGUAUUAUAUAUUUUUGUGCAUAUAUAUAGAUGUGUUUCAUUUAUUGCUAAAACAAUUCAUUGGAAAAAUUCUCUUAAUCAAAAUUAAUAAGAUUCAAAGAUUAAAAUUAUAUUCAAAACAAUUUGAAAAAAAUGAAAUCAGGAGAUUUCAAACUUAACAAGGGGGUAAUGUUAUGAAAGGAUUUAGGACACUUUUAGAAAUAAUUAAAAAUUGAAAUUAAAUAGAGCUAAUUAAAAUAAAAAUUGUAUGUUUCAAAUUUAUUAAGUCAGUUAAAAGUAAAAUAGAAUAUAAAGUCAAAUAAUUCAUUGGCAC
rnacentral:lncRNA from 1 species